rnacentral:rRNA from 1 species
AUUGAACGCUGGCGGCAUGCUUUACACAUGCAAGUCGAACGGUAACAGGGAGCUUGCUCCGCUGACGAGUGGCGAACGGGUGAGUAAUGCGUCGGAACGUGCCGAGUAGUGGGGGAUAACGCAGCGAAAGUUGUGCUAAUACCGCAUACGUACUGAGGUAGAAAGUGGGGGACCUUCGGGCCUCACGCUAUUCGAGCGGCCGACGUCUGAUUAGCUAGUAGGUGAGGUAAAGGCUCACCUAGGCGACGAUCAGUAGCGGGUCUGAGAGGAUGGGCCGCCACACGGGGACUGAGACGCGGCCCAGACUCCUACGGGAGGCAGCAGUGGGGAAGUUUGGACAAUGGGCGAAAGCCUGAUCCAGCCAUGCCGCGUGUCUGAAGAAGGCCUUCGGGUUGUAAAGGACUUUUGUCGGGGAGGAAAUCCCCAGCGCUAAUACCGCUGGGGGAUGACAGUACCUGAAGAAUAAGCACCGGCUAACUACGUGCCAGCCGCCGCAGUAAUAC